rnacentral:rRNA from 1 species
AUUGAACGCUGGCGGCAUGCCUUACACAUGCAAGUCGAACGGCAGCACGGGGGCAACCCUGGUGGCGAGUGGCGAACGGGUGAGUAAUAUAUCGGAACGUACCCUGGAGUGGGGGAUAACGUAGCGAAAGUUACGCUAAUACCGCAUACGAUCUAAGGAUGAAAGUGGGGGAUCGCAAGACCUCAUGCUCCUGGAGCGGCCGAUAUCUGAUUAGCUAGUUGGUGGGGUAAAGGCCUACCAAGGCAUCGAUCAGUAGCUGGUCUGAGAGGACGACCAGCCACACUGGGACUGAGACACGGCCCAGACUCCUACGGGAGGCAGCAGUGGGGAAUUUUGGACAAUGGGGGGCAACCCUGAUCCAGCAAUGCCGCGUGAGUGAAGAAGGCCUCGG